rnacentral:piRNA from 1 species
UUCUGCAAUAAGAUUUCCAUGAUGCCUGACC